AGUGAACGCUGGCGGUAGGCCUAACACAUGCAAGUCGAACGUCAGCACAAUAAGAGCUUGCUCUUACGGGUGGCGAGUGGCGGACGGGUGAGGAAUACAUCGGAAUCUACUUUUUCGUGGGGGAUAACGUAGGGAAACUUACGCUAAUACCGCAUACGACCUACGGGUGAAAGCAGGGGAUCUUCGGACCUUGCGCGAUUGAAUGAGCCGAUGUCGGGUUAGCUAGUUGGCGGGGUAAAGGCCCACCAAGGCGACGAUCCGUAGCUGGUCUGAGAGGAUGAUCAGCCACACUGGAACUGAGACACGGUCCAGACUCCUACGGGAGGCAGCAGUGGGGAAUAUUGGACAAUGGGCGCAAGCCUGAUCCAGCCAUACCGCGUGGGUGAAGAAGGCCUUCGGGUUGUAAAGCCCUUUUGUUGGGAAAGAAAAGCAGCAGGUUAAUACCCCGCUGUUCUGACGGUACCCAAAGAAUAAGCACCGGCUAACUUCGUG
rnacentral:rRNA from 1 species